CAGCCCGAAGCUGCGGAGCCGCGGCCCCAGGCGCUGCGGUCUCAGGUUUCUUUACCUCCGGAAAGAAAACAACUGACACCUUGCAUCCUGGAAGUUCAUUUAAGAGACUGAAAUUAGAGACUUCUUUCAAAUUUGGACAUGGCUAAUCGAGGAGCAACAAGACCUAACAGGCCAAAUACUGGAAAUAAAAUAUGCCAGUUCAAACUAGUACUUCUGGGAGAGUCUGCUUUUGUCAAAUCGAGCCUAGUGCUUUGUUUUGUGAAGGGCCACUUUCAUGAAUUUCAAGAGAGUACCAUGGGGGCUGCUUUUCUAGCCCACACUGUGUGUCUUGAUGACACAACAGUAAAGUUUGAAAUGUGGGAUACAGCUGGUGAAGAACAAUACCAUAGCCUAGCACCCAUGUACUACAGACGAGCGCAAGCAGCCAUAGUUGUAUAUGAUGACACAAACGAGGAGUCCUUUGUCAGAGCCAAAAACUGGGUUACAGAACUUCAGAGGCAAGCCAGUCCUAACAUUGUAAUAGCUUUAUCAGGAAACAAGGCUGACCUCGCCAAUAAAACAGCUGUCAAUUUCCAGGAAGCACAGUCCUAUGCAGAUGAUAACAGUUUAUUAUUUCUGGAGAAAUCAGCUAAAACAUCAAUGACUGUAAAUGAAAUAUUCAUGGCAAUAGCUAAAAAGUUGCCAAAGAAUGAACCACAGAAUCCAGGAGCACAUUCUGCCAGAGGAAGAGGAGUAGACCUUACUGAACCCACGCAGCCAACCAGGAGUCAGUGCUGUAGUAACUAAACCUCCAGUUUAAACUAACUGGAAUGUUCUUCUGCUUCCUAAUUGUUAAUAACAGUGGAAUUGGAGCAUUUAACCAGCCCAGUAUGACUUCCAAAAAGAAGAGACUUACAAUAGGCAAGUUUCUAAUACAGAAUUAUUUUAAGUGUUUUGAACUUAAUUUUUAAUAACAUACAUGUGACCCUCUGACUAAUGUUUUAGCAGUGGAAGGGGGAAAUGAGAGCUGGGUGUACCCUUGUUUCCUUGGAAGGUUAGCGGGACUCAUUUCUCUUCACCAGUGAUAUAAACAAAUGAUUCUGAACCCACAGUUAACCAACCAGUUCUGUGAAAAAGAUUUGGAACUUACUCAUUUGGACUUUUCCAAAAAAAUUCUUUCUUUGGAAGGAGGUUCUAAAGAUAUUUAUGCUUAGCUACCAUAUUCAGGCAACCUGUAAUUUCUCUUAGUAUCCUUAUUUAAAGUAUACAUUCCACAUUUUAACAAAUUAGCCACAAGGAAACAGUCCCACAUCUUCA